rfam:Porphyromonas macacae strain COT-192_OH2859 contig_31, whole genome shotgun sequence.
UUAAACGUGGACGGAUUUGUCAAAGCUUGCAACCACGAGAAAAAAUGCUAAAACUUGUCCC